GGGGCUCCUGGCUGUGGGUGUGGUACCGAGGCUUCAGCGGGUGCCGCCCGCCUAGAGGGAGUGGAGCGGUGAGCACGUCAGGGGUGGGGGGCGCAGGUCAAGCUUUCACCAGUUUUUAAUUCUUUGAUGGGGUAAAUUUGAGCAAUUUUCUCGACUUGUCGACAUUCGUUAUUAACUGAGCAGGAAUCAGGAGAGGAACCCGGUCCUCUCCACACAGCCCAGCAGAGAGCCUACGACUAGAUUUGCAUCUUUACGUCCUGCGCGGAGGCUGCUACACACAUGCAGAAGUCAUGCUGGUGGCCUGGACAGUGAAGGGAGAGAAGUGGAUUUGGGAGACAUUUAGGAGGAACAGUAAGAGGACCUUGUGCAUGAAUAAUUUGUUUCCACACUACAGAAAGAAUCCCAGACUUCUUAGAGAACCCAGUGACUUUUUGCACCUUAAAUCUGUGAAAUCCUCAUGUUUUCUUCUGCCGUAUCCAUAGUUCAAACAAAGAUGAGGCAAAGCUAGAUGCAUUCCUGAAGGAACCCAAGAAAUUCCUCUCUUUAUUUCUCUGGAAUGAAAUGAAUUCUCUAGACCACCAGUUCUAACCUUCAAAAACCAAACCUGUUUGUGAGAUCUCCUUCAAAUACUACUGUAGACCCCAGUGUUUAUUCAUUAAAUUUUUAAAAUAUU
rnacentral:lncRNA from 10 species